GGGGAUGUAGCUCAGUGGUAGAGCGUCCGCUUCGCAUGCGGAAGGCCCGGGGUUCGAUCCCCCUCAUCUCCA
rfam:Nematostella vectensis strain CH2 x CH6 NEMVEscaffold_161_Cont16368, whole genome shotgun sequence.